CCUACGGGAGGCAGCAGUGGGGGAUAUUGCACAAUGGACGAGAGUCUGAACCAGCCAAGUAGCGUGAAGGAUGACUGCCCUAUGGGUUGUAAACUUCUUUUAUAUGGGAAUAAAAUGUUCCACGUGUGGGAUUUUGUAUGUACCAUAUGAAUAAGGAUCGGCUAACUCCGUGCCAGCAGCCGCGGUAAUACUGAGGAUCCGAGGUUUAUACGGAUUUAUUGGGUUUAAAGGGAGCGUAGGUGGAUUGUUAAGGCAGUUGUGAAAGUUUGCGGCUCAAACGUAAAAUUGCAGUUGACACUGGCAGUCGUGAGUACAGUAGAGGUGGGCGGAAUUCGUGGUGUAGCGGUGAAAUGCUUAGAUAUCACGAAGAACUCCGAUUGCGAAGGCAGUUCACUGGACUGCAACUGACACUGAGGCUCGAAAGUGUGGGUAUCAAACAGGAUUAGAUACCCCGGUAGUC
rnacentral:rRNA from 1 species